UACGUAGGGACCGAGCGUUGUCCGGAAUCAUUGGGCGUAAAGAGCGUGUAGGCGGCCACUUAAGUCCUGCGUGAAAUCUUGCGGCUCAACCGCAAGCGGUCGUGGGAAACUGGGUGGCUAGAGUGCGGGAGAGGAGAGUGGAAUUCCUGGUGUAGCGGUGAAAUGCGUAGAGAUCCGGAGGAACACCGACGGCGUAGGCAGCGCCCUAGACGAGACCUGACGCUCAGGCACGAAAGCGCGGGGAGCGAACAGG
rnacentral:rRNA from 1 species